rnacentral:rRNA from 1 species
UACAGAGUGUGCAAGCGUUAAUCGGAAUUACUGGGCGUAAAGCGUGCGUAGUCGGUUAUUUAAGUCGGGUGUGAAAGCCCCGGGCUCAACCUGGGAAUUGCAUUCGAUACUGGAUAGCUAGAGUUCGGCAGAGGGAAGCGGAAUUUCCGGUGUAGCGGUGAAAUGCGUAGAUAUCGGAAGGAACAUCAGUGGCGAAAGCGGCUUCCUGGACCAGAACUGACGAUCAGGCACGAAAGCGUGGGGAGCAAACAGG